UACGGAGGGGGGCUAGCGUUUGUUCGGAAUUACUGGGCGUAAAGCGCACGUAGGCGGCUUUGUAAGUUAGAGGUGAAAGCCCGGGGCUCAACUCCGGAAUUGCCUUUAAGACUGCAUCGCUAGAAUUGUGGAGAGGUAAGUGGAAUUCCGAGUGUAGAGGUGAAAUUCGUAGAUAUUCGGAAGAACACCAGUGGCGAAGGCGACUUACUGGACUGGUAUUGACGCUGAGGUGCGAAAGCGUGGGGAGCAAACAGG
rnacentral:rRNA from 1 species